rnacentral:rRNA from 1 species
UACGAGGGGGGCAAGCGUUGUUCGGAAUUAUUGGGCGUAAAGGGCGCGUAGGCGGCGCGGUAUGUCUCUUGUGAAAUCUCCAGGCUCAACUUGGAGUCUGCAAGGGAAACUGCCGUGCUUGAGUACUGGAGAGGUGAGUGGAAUUCCCGGUGUAGCGGUGAAAUGCGUAGAUAUCAGGAGGAACACCGGUGGUGUAGACGGCUUUCUGGACCAUAACUGACGCUGAGGAGCGAAAGCGUGGGGAUCAAACAGG